rnacentral:tRNA from 1 species
GGGCCGUCGGAGCAGUUGGAAUGCUCACCUCGCUCUCAACGAGGAGAUCACGGGUUCGAGUCCCGUACGGCCUAC